rnacentral:lncRNA from 1 species
UCAGAGUUUAAAUAAUGAACAUAGCAAUACCACCAAAGAAACAUUCAUUAAAUAUCAAUAUAAAAUAAAGUGGAAGAAAAAGAGAAAAACAGCAAGCUGCUGAUUGCAGUGUUUGCAACCGAGACUCUGUUCUGCAAACCCUGGGGGAUCAGCGUGGAUUGAGCUAUUACUAGAGGUUGGGGUUAAACACGGUAGGCUAUAGACUUUCUGGGGGAGAAACCAGUCAAUUUCUAUUCUGAAAACCUGGCACUGCCUAAGAAAAUCCAAACCCUUCAAACAGAAGCUUCGCAAGAGUGUAGUUAAUGGCAUAAAAGAGUGCUCAGAAACUCACCCACAGAGACUUUCUGAUAGCUGAUGCCAGGAACAGCAAAAAGCAGAAUGUCCAGUUAGGGAUAGUUAACCAAGCCCCUCUCAAUUCUUCUUCUUGAGGCUAUCCUCUCCUCACUGGUCCCCAUUUUAUAAUCAUGCUCAAGGAGCCUAGGCUUCUCUUCUUCUCUUACAGCAUGUUUAAUAUCACUACUUUAUCCAUUCUGUACUGUUGCAGGCUGAAGGUGACAUUACACUUAGAGGGAUCCACAGAUUCAAGAGGCUGCUUGGGGAGGGCAGCACAGUGAAGUACAAGGACUUUGACAUCAGAGAGGCCUGGAUUCAAGUCCCAAUUUCUGUGUGUGGUAACCAGUCUGCAAGACAGCCUGUGAUGGUUCCUGCCUCCUCGUAUUCAUGUCCUUCUUAGUUCCCUUGCGCAUUGAAUCAGGGCUGGCUCUGGGUGACCAAUAGAAUGUGGAGGAAGUGAUGGGGUGUGAAUUCCGAGGCUAGGUCACAAAAGGCAUUGUAUCUUCCACCUCUUAGAUCUCUCUCUCUGCGGAAGCCAGCCACCGCUCUCCAAGGACUCUCGAGCAGCUCCAUCUACAGAUUCACAUGGAGAAGAAUUAAGGGUUCCUGCCAAUCACCAGCACCACUUUGCCAGCCUUGUAAGUGGGCCACCUUGGAAUUGGAGCCUCCAGUUCCUACUGACAUCUGACUGCAACAUCAUGAGAGACCCUGAGUUUGAACCACCCAGCUGAGCUGCUUCUGAGCUAACCCACUGAAACCACAGUUGGCAUCUGUGUGAAGAUGUGAAUGGAGGAGGCAGAGUAGGCAGUGAGUGCCGCAGCCACAGCUUGUGUUCUCUGCAGCCCUGGCACAGAAGAUAGGAACACUCAUGGGGGAUGCGGCCACUGUGAUGUCUUCCCACACAAGAAGUGCCAAGUGCUUUUCUCAUGCUUUUCUGGAUUGUCCCAUGGUGGACGAGUCAGCAGGAGUGAGAUGGAGCAGCACAGUAGAGGGGCCAGGAUAUCGUUGUACAUAUUCUCAGCUAAGUGAGCACCAAUAGAGGAGAGGGAGAGUCUCAUGGAAGUUCCUUCUAAGCCUUUGGCUCUUUUUACCUUCAACAAGGUGUGCCACCUCUUUGAUCCAGCAAGUGGGAAGAACAGUCCCGGCCUCUUUGCACACAAGACCGUGAUACCAAUGCACCAUCACAGGCCCCACAGGGGAGCUGUCCGCUUCCCCACACAGCUGCUAGGGGCUCUUUUGCAUGUUCCCAACCUUUCCUGCCUUUAUCUGAUAUUCGUUCCUUAGAUCCUGGGAUGAGGAGGUGGACCAGCAGAAGGUGGGCUUGUGAAGGCAGCCCGGGGUCCAAAUCCUCCUGGCUCUUCAGCUUAGCGGGAUGUCACCUUCAGCGUCUGAAAGCUGGGUUUGAUGCGUCUGGAAAGGCGUCCCUGACAGGCGUCGUUGCCAGGAGCCCCUAGUGCCACCAGCAGCCAGCAGGGGAGGGCGUCCUCUGCCCGCUCACUUCUGACCCUUCUCUCGUUGCACCCGGAACAUGGUGCAGCUGGGAGCAGCCUGGGCUGCGCGGAAGGCUCAGAUUUGGGGACGGCCCUUGCCAGUGACUGUGAGCUGGGGUGUCUUGGAAACUCCCAGUCUCAGCUUCUCCAUUUAUAAGAUGAGAAUGAUCAUACCAGACUCAGGCAAGGUUGUUUGUGCAUUAGUGAAAUCAGACGUAUUAAAUAAAGUACCACAUUGAUCGUGGAGUUGUUGAAUAACCAAGAACACGCCUAUCUGUCUCCAAAAAAUAAAUGUUGAAAAUGAUGAGGGCGUGGCUCUACGUUGGGAAGGGAAAUAGGGUGCUUGGAUGAGAGAAUCCUGAGGCAUGGGACAGUGGAGGGAUCCAGGAUAGUUCCAUAAGAAAAUGUGCUUGCACUAUCGUUUCUUUGCAGAGGCUCUUGUGUGCUGGGAGGCUGGCUGGGAUGGGGAGUUGGUGGCAGAGAAUAGUGUCUGUUUUCUUCCUGGUAGCUGGAGAGCUCUGCGACAGAGGACUGAGGUCAUUAGGAACAAGCGGGCAGGUAGGGACAGGCGUUGGAGUGGACUAGCCCUGGUUCCCCUGAAGCUCUCUGGGGUGGAGGUGAAGGAGCUUCUAGGGCAAAGUUUGCCAGUUAAGGAGGAGACACUGUUUGGGCUGCUCCCCGAAAUGGAGAACUUUUGUGUGUGCCUGGAGUGUUUCUAUUUGAGAAAAACUAUUUGAGAGGUGGGAAGGUGAAUUAUUUACCAGUAAGUUUAUCCUUCUCUCCUCAGAUUCUGCAGAACUUGCAGACCCAUAAACAAAUUAGAAAUUGCUUUUCUCCUCUUGCUUAACCUAAAUUUCUUUGUGGAAGCUGAAGGAAAAUAUGAGUAAUUUUCUAACAUAUUCAGUUACAGAGACAGCAAAGAGAAAUAUUCAAGAAAAAAAAAAAACAAACCCUGAGGUGCUACUGACUUCGUGUAUGUCUUAGCUGUAGACAGAAUUGGGAUUUCCUAAUAUGGGUUUGUUCCAGUACAGCCCCUCAGAAAGAUUUUCAUCAGCAAAACACACAUUGGAGGACCAGCUGCUGUGCAGUUGUCUCUUUUAAACCAUUUUCUCACUUCAUUGCUAAUUUUCCCAGCACCUUUCUUCUAACAGUUCUACAUUUUUGAUCUGCAAACAACCUGAGAUUAUUUCUUUCCCUCUUGGUAAAUAAAAGAAAUUUAAAGUAGAUUCUAGAAUGGGUUAGACUGUUUUAUUCCAGAUCCCUCAAAAAGAAGGGAUAAAUACUUCUUUAAAAGAAUCCCUUUAAAAGAAGGGAUAAAGUUUAAGCCAUAAAUACAAUAAAUGGUGAACUGCCUGGUUAACUGAGGGCUGAUUCCCGGAGACGCAACCAGGGGGAGCUUCCUGAGCAAGGUAGCUACUCCCUGCCAAGGUAACCACAGCUUUCUAACAAUAAGUAAAAUGUUUCUACUCAUAUCAUAGGGACCCUACAACAACAUGGCCCUUUUCUCUCUGCCAUGCAAAAAAGCAUCAAGAAAGUAAGAAGGGGCAUUUUUGAGAACAAACUAGAAAUCUUAGCAUCAUGUCUUCUCUCUAAUUAUGUUGGAAACAGGCUUUGAAAAAGAAAAAAACUGAGGAGAAGAUCACUAAAUAGAAUUCAAUAAAAAUGGCUUUUGAUAUUCUGUAGCUUGAAAGCAUUUGUAUUGGGUUUAUGUUCUCAUGGUUUUUGUUUCAAAGAGUUUAAGGUAAAUUUGAAUGUCCCAUUCCUCUGAGAACUCAGAGAAAGCCAGGUUGAUUAAGAAGUAAUUAAGAGGCUGGG